rnacentral:rRNA from 1 species
AGUGAACGCUGGCGGUAGGCCUAACACAUGCAAGUCGAACGGCAGCACAGUAAGAGCUUGCUCUUACGGGUGGCGAGUGGCGGACGGGUGAGGAAUACAUCGGAAUCUACUUUUUCGUGGGGAUAACGUAGGGAAACUUACGCUAAUACCGCAUACGACCUACGGGUGAAAGCAGGGGAUCUUCGGACCUUGCGCGAGUGAAUGAGCCGAUGUCGGAUUAGCUAGUUGGCGGGGUAAAGGCCCACCAAGGCGACGAUCCGUAGCUGGUCUGAGAGGAUGAUCAGCCACACUGGAACUGAGACACGGUCCAGACUCCUACGGGAGGCAGCAGUGGGGAAUAUUGGACAAUGGGCGCAAGCCUGAUCCAGCCAUACCGCGUGGGUGAAGAAGGCCUUCGGGUUGUAAAGCCCUUUUGUUGGGAAAGAAAAGCAGCAGGUUAAUACCCCGCUGUUCUGACGGUACCCAAAGAAUAAGCACCGGCUAACUUCGUG